GACGAACGCUGGCGGCGUGCUUAACACAUGCAAGUCGAACGAAGUGGCGAACGGGUGAGUAACGCGUAAUCAACCUGCCCUUCAGAGGGGGACAACAGUUGGAAACGACUGCUAAUACCGCAUACUGAAGGAGGGGAUUGCGUCUGAUUAGCUCGUUGGAGGGGUAACGGCCCACCAAGGCGAUGAUCAGUAGCCGGGCUGGGAGGAUGAACGGCCAAAUUGGGACUGGGGCACGGCCCAGACUUCUACGGGAGGCAGCAGGUGGGAAUCUUCCGCAGUGGACGAAAGUCUGACGAAGCAACGCCGCGGGAGUGAUGACGGCCUUCGGGUUGUAAAGCUCUGUUAAGCGGGACGCGGUACCGGAAGAGAAAGCCACGGCUAACUACGUGCCAGCAGCCGCGGUAAUAC
rnacentral:rRNA from 1 species